rnacentral:rRNA from 1 species
AACGAACGCUGGCGGCAGGCCUAACACAUGCAAGUCGAGCGCGCCCUUCGGGGUGAGCGGCGGACGGGUGAGUAACGCGUGGGAACGUGCCCUUCUCUGCGGAAUAGCCUCGGGAAACUGAGAGUAAUACCGCAUACGCCCUUUGGGGGAAAGAUUUAUCGGAGAAGGAUCGGCCCGCGUUGGAUUAGGUAGUUGGUGGGGUAAUGGCCCACCAAGCCGACGAUCCAUAGCUGGUUUCAGAGGGUGAUCGGCCACACUGGGACUGAGACACGGCCCAGACUCCUGCGGGAGGCAGCAGUAGGGAAUCUUCCGCAAUGGGGGCAAGCCUGAUGGAGCAAGGCCGCGUGAGUGAUGAAGGGCUUCGGAUCGUAAAACUCUGGUAUUAGGGCAGAACGUAGGUGUACGUAACUGUGCACAUCCUGACGGUACCUAAACAGAAAGCAACGGCUAACUACGUG